rnacentral:rRNA from 1 species
CCCUUAGAUGUUCUGGGCCGCACGCGUGCUACACUGAGUGGAUCAGCGGGUCAGGUUGCGCGAAAGCGUUUCCUAAUCUUUAAAUCCGCUCGUGAUGGGGAUUGACGGUUGCAAUUUUCUGUCAUGAACGAGGAAUACCUUGUAAGCGCGGGUCAUCAUCCCGCGCUGAAUACGUCCCUGCCCUUUUUACACACCGCCCGUCGCUCCUACCGAUUGAGUGGUCCGGUGAGGCUUUGGGAUCUGAGCGGAAAGAGCGUUUCGCUGUUUCUGCUCGGAAAACUCAGUCGAACCUUAUCAUUUAGAGGAAGGAGAAGUCGUAACA